UAGCCACUGAGGACGGAACGGGCGACCGUCACCACGCGUUUAAGCGGCGGAGAUGUGGGAAAUGCCACCCCACCUUGGUUA
rnacentral:ncRNA from 12 species